GGGCUCCAUGGAAGAAUUUUACUAAAAUAGUACAGCCAGUUGUGUUCUGAUGGCUCCAAGUGGGCUUCCCAUCUAUGCCUUUUAGCAUGUGGGGAUCUACGGGUAUAUCUUGGGUGGCCUCUAUUGCCACACGUCGCCGUGUGCUCUCUAUGAUGAAAAUGGAUGUAUCAAAGGACAGGGUGUAGGCCGAGCACUCUGGCUGCGUCUUUCUCAGGACUCUCAUGCAGUACUCCCUGCAAGAAAAUCAGAGCAUCAGGGUGCUGGGUCCAGGAUGAAGAGUGGAGUCAUCCAAACCAGUGGCAAGACCAAAGUCAAGAGUGACGAUGGCCUGGGAUGCAGUCUGACCAAGCUUUAAGUGCUCCAGUGUCUGCUUCUGUCACCUUCAUGACUAUUCGAACAAACUGAUUUCAUCUAUCCAUUCUACUAGAGGAAGUCUUCCAUGCUUGGGAUGGACAUCCACUAACUUGUGAACAGGAAAUAAAAAAAUGGGUACCCACUGAGAAAAAACACUGAUCACAGGCCAUGAUUCAGUUUUUUACAACCCAGAUUUUGUAAGAAAACAAAAAAGCCUACUCUUUAUUUGGACCAGCAGGGUAUAUUGCCCUCUUGUUUCUUAGAAUAAAAAAUUACCUUAUUCCAGUGAAA